rnacentral:rRNA from 1 species
AUAUAGAAGGGCCUGCCGGUGACACACUGUGCACGGCCGCGGGAUCCUCUCCGCGCGAGGGUGUCAUAAUCUCUUGUCUAUCAUUUGUAGGCUACAAUGAAAGGGUUAACGAAAUAAGAACUGUCUCACUUACUUACCUAAAAAUUAUUCUCUAUCCCCCGAAAGAAAGAUGAACUCAAAGGACAAGAAGACCCUAUCCAGCUUAAUUUUACCUAUUUAAUGAUACUAUAAAAAUAUUCGGUUGGGGCGACCCACGGACAAUCCAUCACCCAGCAUUCAAAAGAUAUGUGAAUCAAGAACAUGACCCUAUCUCCAUCACAAAACCGAGCUAACUUAGGGAUAACAGGCUAAUCCCACCCCACAGUCCUUAUCAUCGGUUGGGGUUGGCACCUCGAUAUUGGCUUAAGAUAUCUGUAUUGCGCUUCAGUAAUCUAUAUAUGGUUUGUUCAUCCCAACCUAUCCUACGU